CGUAGGGUGCGAGCGUUAAUCGGAAUUACUGGGCGUAAAGCGUGCGCAGGCGGUUAUGCAAGACAGAUGUGAAAUCCCCGGGCUCAACCUGGGAACUGCAUUUGUGACUGCAUAGCUAGAGUACGGUAGAGGGGGAUGGAAUUCCGCGUGUAGCAGUGAAAUGCGUAGAUAUGCGGAGGAACACCGAUGGCGAAGGCAUCCCCUGGACCUGUACUGACGCUCAUGCACGAAAGCGUGGGGAGCAAACAGGAUUAGAUACCCUGGUAGUCCACGCCCUAAACGAUGUCAACUGGUUGUUGGGAGGGUUUCUUCUCAGUAACGUAGCUAACGCGUGAAGUUGACCGCCUGGGGAGUACGGCCGCAAGGUUG
rnacentral:rRNA from 1 species